rnacentral:rRNA from 3 species
GACAGAGGUGGCGAGCGUUGUUCGGAAUUACUGGGCUUAAAGGGCGCGUAGGCGGUGGUGUAAGUCUGGGGUGGAAUGCUACAGCUCAACUGUAGAGCUGCCUUGGAAACUGCAUUACUUGAGUCGGUGAGGGGAAGGCGGAAUUCCUGGUGUAGCGGUGAAAUGCGUAGAUAUCAGGAGGAAGGUCUGUGGCGAAGGCGGCCUUCUGGCACUUGACUGACGCUGAGGCGCGAAAGCGUGGGGAGCAAACAGG